rnacentral:lncRNA from 1 species
UUUCAAAGGACAAAGUUAGCCUGAGAAGGCCAGUUUCUCUCAUAGCAAUGGACAGAAAGGAGCCUCCUCACACAGGUGGUACUGGUGGGUGCUCAAUGACCCAGGGAAGAACUGCUGACUGCAGACAGAAAACUGGAGAUAUGCUUUAAGCAGGGAGAGCACUGACUAGGCAGAGCGUCACUCAGGUCCUACAAGUUAGGGAAAUUCUGGAGUACACUCAAUCUGUGCCAGAGGCCAAUUCUACCCUUGGGCUGUAACUAGAUUUCUGGGGGAAAUGAAAAGCUUUUCAUAUUUCCUCCUGAUGCUUUGUGGCUGGCUGAAGCACAUCUAGGGAUCUGACCUUACCAGUUUAUCAGGAUUUUCUGAUACUGAGAAGAAACACUAGAAGCAAUCAAAUGCCUUUAAGAAACAGGAGAAAUGAAAACACAGGAGCCAUCAAUGAGUACAGUGUGGCAGAUCUUUGAAGACCAGAACAUAGUUUAUGCAUGCACAGGGUCAGAUUUUCAGCUGAUUGCAAGGAGGCUGCACAAGGUCACUACAGUUAUGCAUAAUGCUGCUUCAUCCUCUCCUGAAUUGCCACCUAGAACAGCUACAAGAUAUUUUGCAACCAGACGCAGGUUUCCUCUUCCUGUGCUCCGAGCCAGCCAGAUGCAAACUGGCCUCGAACCAGAAGCCGUGUAGCUGCAGUUAGCAGGCACGCAGCCCAAGCUAACAAGCCUUGCUGAGAAGGCAGGAUGUGUCUGCUCAGGCUCAGCACUCUGCUACUGCAGCUACACAGCCUCUGCUGAGCUGGGGGUGCAGGCAGGGUAUGCUCCCGCCUUCCUGGACUGUGGGCAAAAGAAGGUCUUCUCAGCUGUUGAAGAUGACAACCAACAUCACCUGCAUCACAGAAGAGCUUCAUCCUUUGUCCCAUACAUGUAGCUUGAAGAACAUAGUCAGUCCUUUAAAAUGAUUUCAAAGUUAAAACAAUAGCUAGUGAUAUUGCUAUGAGAAACAGAAUAAAUGUCUGAACAGCAUGCA